UGCUUUACACAUGCAAGUCGAGCGGCAGCGCGGGGCAACCUGGCGGCGAGCGGCGAACGGGUGAGUAAUACAUCGGAACAUGUCCAUUUGUGGGGGAUAGCCCGGCGAAAGCCGGAUUAAUACCGCAUGAGCCCGAGAGGGGAAAGCGGGGGACUUCGCAAGAGGCCUCGCGCGAAUGGAUUGGCCGAUGUCCGAUUAGCUAGUUGGUGGGGUAAUGGCCUACCAAGGCAGUGAUGGCUAGCCGGUCUGAGAGGAUGAUCGGCCACACUGGAACUGAGACACGGUCCAGACUCCUACGGGAGGCAGCAGUAGGGAAUAUUGCGCAAUGGGGGCAACCCUGACGCAGCAAUGCCGCGUGAGUGAGGAAGGCCUUCGGGUUGUAAAACUC
rnacentral:rRNA from 1 species